rnacentral:misc_RNA from 1 species
AACGCACAUUGCGCUUCCUGGUAUUCCGGGGAGCAUGCCCGUUUCAGAAUCAUUGAAAAUCUCACAACCUCCAAGAAUUGCCUAGUGCAGAACUUGGACAAGUGGAUUUUGGAUGUUUUGCGCUCUAGCAAUCGUCUAGAAAUGAUUGUAUGUACUCCAGUUGCUUUGUCAAUUGGAUAUCCUAAAGUGCAACAGAUUUAUCUAUUCUCUUUAGGCUUCAAUUGAUGAGUAUGGUAGUGUGUACUCAAAUAAUUAACAGUUGUCUUGUUUCGGCAUGGCAUCUGAUAACUUGGUCUGAAAUCGGGCAAGAAAACCCGCUGAACUUAA